UACGUAGGGUGCAAGCGUUUGUCCGGAAUUAUUGGGCGUAAAGAGCUCGUAGGCGGUCUGUCACGUCUGCUGUGAAAACUCAGGGCUUAACCCUGAGCUUGCAGUGGGUACGGGCAGACUAGAGUGCGGUAGGGGAGACUGGAAUUCCUGGUGUAGCGGUGAAAUGCGCAGAUAUCAGGAGGAACACCGGUGGCGAAGGCGGGUCUCUGGGCCGAUACUGACGCUGGAGACGCGAAAGCGUGGGGAGCGAACAGG
rnacentral:rRNA from 1 species